rnacentral:rRNA from 1 species
GUCUAUGGCUAUGCUACCCUGAACAAGCCCAAUCCCGUCUGAUUGUCUGAUCUUGGAAGCUAAGCAGGGUUGGGCCUGGUUAGUACUUGGAUGGGAGACCACCUAGGAAGACCAGGUGCUAUAGGUG